UGGGGAAUAUUGCACAAUGGGCGAAAGCCUGACGGAGCGACGCCGCGUGAUGGAUGAAGUCCUUCGGGACGUAAACAUCUUUUAUGAGUGAGGAAGUUUAUUGACGUUAGCUCAUGAAUAAGGGGCUGCUAACUCUGUGCCAGCAGCAGCGGUAAUACAGAGGCCCCAAGCAUUAUCCGGACUCACUGGGCGUAAAGGGUGUGUAGGCGGCUGUGUUAGUCUCCUGUGAAAGGCUUUGGGCCCAACCCAGAGACCGCGGGAGAAACGGCACAGCUCGAGGAUGCGAGAGGUAAAGGGAACUCAUGGUGUAGGGGUGAAAUCCGUUGAUAUCAUGGGGAACACCAAAUGCGAAGGCACUUUACUGGCGCACUCCUGACGCUGAGACACGAAAGCGUGGGUAGCGAACGGGAUUAGAUACCCCCGUAGUCC
rnacentral:rRNA from 1 species